CUCCAUUUCAAAAACGAAACAAAACAGAACAACAACAACAACAACAACAAAAAACCCAAAAAGAACCCAGUCAUCACAGAAUCUGUACAUGGCCUGUGGGUGGUAGAUGCUGGCCCUACACAUGAACGGUUCCAUGGUCCUCAUCCAUGACAGAGUAGGACCUAUGACCCAGAUCCUUUGGCAGUGAGUUCAGUGCUCUUUCUUCUUAUGCCAUGCUCGGCCAUGAGGAGAAAUCCUGAAGUUCUGCACAUUCUUUGAAAAAACACAGUGAUGGAAGUGAGACAGAUUGUGGGCACAGGGCCAUAGCCCUGUUGAAUCUGCACUUGUUCCACAAGGUUUGAGUUGUUCCCUCAGACUUUCAGAAAAUCAUUGUUGUGCUAAUGUUUCUUCUUGCUUUCUUUUAAGGAAAAGUGUUUGAGAAGAGUACAACACAGCCACCACCAUUUUUUCCUAGGUCAACAAGCACGCCUGUGUUCUGAUAAUUAAGAGUCCUAAUGAUACACAUCUAAUGGUAAAAAGUUCAGGGUUACUGACUUUAGUCAUGGCUGGAUCCAGGUGUUUAACAUGAUUUUAUCAGGAAGUUGCUUCUCUCUCUGCCUCUGCCUUCCUUGGCAUUGAAUUCAUUUUUAGGAUGUGUGGGGGUUUACUGUUGAGGUGGUCACUGGCAGCUCUAGGUUUAUGUUCUCACAAAUGAAUGACUCUUUCUUGAUCACACCAGCAGUACUUCUAGGAUUAUCUCUUAUUGGACCAAUUUAUGUCCCAUUUCUACUGCUGAGCCAUUUCAUCAGUUCAUUGUUAAACCAUUCAGACAAAAUACAUUGACUGCUUUCCAUGUUCCAGCAGCCACACACUUUUUAUGAGGAGCCUUCAAAUAUUAAAAUAAAGGAAUACUAGCAGUAUUUUUUAGGAAUAAUGUGUUUUUCAAGUUCAAUGCUAUAUUACAUUAAGCACUGUGAAGCCAGGCUGUGGGAACAAUAAAGCUUUUUUUGAUGAACCUCAAAAUUGCAAAUUGAGGUGGUGAAUGACAGUCAUCUCCUUUUCUCUGAGGAGCCCAAAUGUCAGAAUGCACCCAUGUCUGAGGUCAUCCUUCCUUUGAAAUACCUGCCACGAUGACUGCAGCUCCUGCAGGUUUCCCUCCCCAGGUCCCGUGGGAAGAUGUCCGUUAUCUCUUUGAUGAGAUCAUGUAUGGAGGCCACAUCACAGAUGACGGGGAUUGCAAACUGUGUCGGGUGUAUUUAGAAGAAUUCAUGAAUCCAUCUCUGAAGCUAGCUGCCCUGUCAGGAACACAUGCAUGUGGUGAAAAACCGAGACUUCCAGCCAACAGCCAUGUGAGCGAGCCAUCUUGGAAGUGGAUCCUCCAGCCCCAGUCAAGCCUUCAGAUGACUGCAGCUUUGGCCAACAUCUUGACUGCAACUUCCUGAGAGACCCUGAGCAAGAAUCACACCAUGAAGAUGUUCCUAGUUUUCUGAUUCUCAGAAACUGGCUGCCAUGUGAAGAAGGACAUGUUUGCUUCCACUUCUGCCACGAUUCAGUGUGAGAAUGGACUAAUACAGGGUCUGUGUUGGACAGGAAGGACAUGAAGAGAGGAAGGGCUGGUGGAGAGAAUGCAGAGUAGUCAUAAGACACGAGCCUCCUCUGAUGGUCGACUUUGCCUUGAGAACUCAGAUGACCUUGCCAGAAUCUUCUUAGAUAGCUUGGAACUCUAGAACAUUUCUACUCACCCUUCUUCCUUCUCCCAUUCACUCAAGGCCAGACCUGCAAUGUGAUCUGACAACUCCCAGCCUUACAAGGUUCUCUUCCAAUUUUCUCUCACAGGGAUUUUCCCUAAUAAAAUCAUCACACAUUUAA
rnacentral:lncRNA from 1 species